GCCAGGCAUGGUGGUGCACGCCUGUAAUCUCAGCUACUUGGGAGGCGGAGGCAGAAGAAUUGCUUGAGCCUGGGAAGUGGAGGUUGCAGUGAGCCGAGAUUGUGCCACUGCACUCCAGCCUGGGCAACAGAGCAAGACUCUGUCUCAA
rnacentral:SRP_RNA from 1 species